UACGGGGGGGGCAAGCGUUGUUCGGAAUUACUGGGCGUAAAGGGUUUGUAGGUGGCUUGUUAAGUCAGACGUGAAAUCCCUCAGCUUAACUGGGGAACUGCGUCUGAUACUGGCGAGCUUGAGUGCAGGAGAGGAACGCGGAAUUCCAGGUGUAGCGGUGAAAUGCGUAGAUAUCUGGAGGAACACCAAUGGCGAAGGCAGCUCGCUGGGACGUGACUGACGCUGAGACGCGAAAGCGUGGGGAGCAAACAGG
rnacentral:rRNA from 1 species